GCCCGCAUGGCUUAGUGGUACAGCGUCUCACUCGUACACCUCCCUCCCUCCCUCAACGGGCCGCGAAGGACAAGACACGGCAAUGAGAAGAUCCUCGGUUCGAUUCCGAGUGUGGGCA